rnacentral:rRNA from 1 species
GACGAACGCUGGCGGCGUGCUUAACACAUGCAAGUCGAGCGGUAAGGCUCCUUCGGGAGUACACGAGCGGCGAACGGGUGAGUAACACGUGAGCAAUCUGCCCUUCACACGGGGAUAACCCUCGGAAACGAGAGCUAAUACCCGAUACGACCACUUCAGGCAUCUGAUGGUGGUGGAAAGUUCCGGCGGUGAAGGAUGAGCUCGCGGCCUAUCAGCUUGUUGGUGUGGUAACGGCCCACCAAGGCAACGACGGGUAGCCGGCCUGAGAGGGUGACCGGCCACACUGGGACUGAGACACGGCCCAGACUCCUACGGGAGGCAGCAGUGGGGAAUAUUGGACAAUGGGCGAAAGCCUGAUCCAGCAACGCCGCGUGAGGGAUGACGGCCUUCGGGUUGUAAACCUCUUUCAGCGGGGACGAAGCGCAAGUGACGGUACCUGCAGAAGAAGCACCGGCCAACUACGUGCCAGCCGCCGCCGUAA